rnacentral:tRNA from 1 species
UCCCAGGUGGCUCAGAUGAUAAAAGAAUCCACCUGCAAUGUGGGAGACCUGGGUUCAAUCCCUGGGUUGGGAA